AGCAUGCCCACAAUCCUGGUAAAAAUCCAUGAGCUUCUUUGUUGUUGUCUAAUGGUGCUGGCACUGACAUUGCCUCUCUCACUUUUGCUGUUUGUUUUGUAGUUUCCUAUCACAAAGAUUAAACCGACUCCUCCAAAGAAAUUCCCAGUAAAACUUCAUAAAUGGACAUGCGAGGAAGAUAAAGCAUUCAUUGAAUUCAUAUCUGUUGCAGAUAAUCAUGCGAAUGAUUGCAAUUGAAGAGGUUUACCAUUUAUGUAAUACCUCUAGAUUGUUUUAAUACAUCAUUAAGCUCAUAUACUAUUCAUGUGUACUGGUGAAAUGAAUGUAAUGUAACAUUUUAAAAACUUCUCUUUAUUUGUGCACAUAAAAUUUUUUUUAAAAACCAUUUUAAUUAUCUUUAAGUAC